rnacentral:lncRNA from 1 species
GGAGGAGUGCCUAAGGCCUUCCUCCUACCACUAAUCCUGAGGAUUGUAAAGGCGGAGUUUGCUAAGGCCUGGGGAAAGGGCUGGUCUUGGAGGACAAACCAACCAUUCCCUAUAGCUGGCCUGCUAUUCAGAGGUCUUUGACCCCCACCUUUCCUACCCUCCCACCUCUAUAUUCAGUCAAAGGAGGCUUUUUCCUCUGGUACCUUGUCCUCUAUGGAGACCUGUUGCUUAGCAACCACUAGUGCUUUCUUCUUAAUAACUAACACGGACGGAGAGAUAAAAUAUCUGUGUCUAUAUUCAGUUCCCCUCCCCUGUCUAUUUAUAUUUAAUAACGAAGCCCUGUCUUGGGUUCCCUUAGCACCUGCCUUAGAGAGCUCUUAGAGGGAUUAUCCGCAGCCUGAAGAAAGAAGGUUACAACUGAGGAAGAACUUCUGAACAGGGAAGAGUGGAAGAAAAGACUGCAGUAGGCUCAGCUCCAGAAGCAGACCCAGAAUGGCAUCCUUCUCUGAGACCCAGACCCCAGCCCCUCUUCAUGGAAGACCAGCACAAAGGAGGAAGUAGGUUAGGGAAUGGUAAGGCUCCAUGUGAUGGGACUAAUGUGGAGAGGCCUGGGGCCUUUCCCUGAGGACUGGAUGGCUGGAGUUUGGGAGCCUGAGUUGACAGAGGAGGCUAAGCCCGGGCAGCUACUUUGUUCCAGAAAUCUAAGGUCCCUGGAGGGAGGCUCUGCUUUGGGAGGGGGAAGGGAGCUAACAUUGCAGAGCACCAACUGUGAACCAGGUACAAUGGCAGAGCCUUUCCAUACCUGUACUCACAACUAGCGGGUGAGGAGUCAAGGCAAAUAGGUGUCUCAUAGCUCCCCAUAUCUCGGCAGUCGACCACCUCCUCCUUUGAUUCUCUGAUGUCACUGCCAGUUCUCCUCCUAUUGCUCUGACCUGUCUUUCUCUGUGUCCUUUGCAAACUCAUUCUCAACUCCUUAGACUCAGUCAAGUCCCCCAGUUACACACUUCCAUGGUACUAUAUAUCGUUCCUUCAGAGCACUUAACACAGUUAUUUCCUAUGUAUUUGUCCAGUCAUUUGAAUAAUGAUCCUAGUUUCAUUGGAUGGAAAGUUCCACAAG